CNUGCAGUCGAGCGGCAGCACGGGUACUUGUACCUGGUGGCGAGCGGCGGACGGGUGAGUAAUACCUAGGAAUCUGCCUGGUAGUGGGGGAUAACGUUCGGAAACGGACGCUAAUACCGCAUACGUCCUACGGGAGAAAGCAGGGGACCUUCGGGCCUUGCGCUAUCAGAUGAGCCUAGGUCGGAUUAGCUUGUUGGUGAGGUAAUGGCUCACCAAGGCUACGAUCCGUAACUGGUCUGAGAGGAUGAUCAGUCACACUGGAACUGAGACACGGUCCAGACUCCUACGGGAGGCAGCAGUGGGGAAUAUUGGACAAUGGGCGAAAGCCUGAUCCAGCCAUGCCGCGUGUGUGAAGAAGGUCUUCGGAUUGUAAAGCACUUUAAGUUGGGAGGAAGGGCAGUUACCUAAUACGUAAUUGUUUUGACGUUACCGACAGAAUAAGCACCGGCUAACUCUGUGCCAGCAGCCGCGGUAAUACAGAGGGUGCAAGCGUUAAUCGGAAUUACUGGGCGUAAAGCGCGCGUAGGUGGUUCGUUAAGUUGGAUGUGAAAUCCCCGGGCUCAACCUGGGAACUGCAUUCAAAACUGACGGGCUAGAGUAUGGUAGAGGGUGGUGGAAUUUCCUGUGUAGCGGUGAAAUGCGUANAUAUAGGAAGGAACACCAGUGNCGAAGGCGACCACCUGGACUGAUACUGACACUGA
rnacentral:rRNA from 1 species